rnacentral:lncRNA from 1 species
GGGCUUGAGGCUGAGCAUCCCUUUGGUGCAGUGCAGACUUCUAGCCAGGGAACCACUGUUUGGUGCAGAGGAGACUUUGAGCCAUGGAGCUUUUGCAGGUCCAGGGAACUAGGACGAGACAAGGGAGACAAGCAAGUGCUUCAGUCAAACUGGUGAUGAGAGAAGAAGAGUCAUAACUUUUGGAGAUUAAGAGAAUUUGGAAAGUGAAAGAAAUCCAAAUAGAUACUCACUGGGCCCUCAGUGUAUCAGAUUCUGGUGAAGACCUGGCAGCCUGGGAUCCUAGAGAUGACAGGAAACAAAGAGGGAAGGCCACAGAGGUCCUUCAAAGGACUCAGGCUUUCAAAGGUGGCAGCAAAGAUCUGUUGAAACCUUAAUCCUCAGCAUUCCAGAACACAGCUUCCUCGACUGCCAUCCCAGCUGUAAUUAAGAUGAAGUAAGAUGAAGUCUUCCUGGGAUAGGAUGGUCUGUGGUGUGAUGCCCCAAAGCAUGUCACCCAAAAGAAACCACAGAGUGUAUAUUCUAAAGACCCAGAGACAGAGUUCAGGGUGUGGUCGGAUAGAGAAUUCUCCAAGGGGAAGAACUGUUCAUUUGUUAUCCCCAGGUAGCUGGGGUAUAGUGGACACUCAGCAAACACUUGCUUCAUAUUACUCCAUAAUGAAUGAACACCAAGCGUAUUCUGUUGGCUAA